rnacentral:rRNA from 1 species
GACGAACGCUGGCGGCGUGCCUAAUACAUGCAAGUAGAACGCUGAAGAGAGGAGCUUGCUCUUCUUGGAUGAGUUGCGAACGGGUGAGUAACGCGUAGGUAACCUGCCUUGUAGCGGGGGAUAACUAUUGGAAACGAUAGCUAAUACCGCAUAACAAUGGAUGACACAUGUCAUUUAUUUGAAAGGGGCAAUUGCUCCACUACAAGAUGGACCUGCGUUGUAUUAGCUAGUAGGUGAGGUAAUGGCUCACCUAGGCGACGAUACAUAGCCGACCUGAGAGGGGGAACGGCCACACUGGGACCGGGAAACGGCCCAGGACCCUACGGGAGGGAGCCGUAGGGAAUCCUCGGGAAAGGGGGCAACCCUGACCGAGCAACGCCGCGUGAGUGAAGAAGGUUUUCGGAUCGUAAAGCUCUGUUGUAAGUCAAGAACGGGUGUGAGAGUGGAAAGUUCACACUGUGACGGUAGCUUACCAGAAAGGGACGGCUAACUACGUG